rnacentral:rRNA from 1 species
GACAGAGGAUGCAAGCGUUAUCCGGAAUGAUUGGGCGUAAAGCGUCUGUAGGUGGCUUUUUAAGUCCGCCGUCAAAUCCCAGGGCUCAACCCUGGACAGGCGGUGGAAACUACCAAGCUGGAGUACGGUAGGGGCAGAGGGAAUUUCCGGGUGUAGCGGUGAAAUGCGCAGAUAUCGGGAGGAACACCAAUUGCGAAGGCAGAUCUCUGGGCCGUAACGUGACGCUGAGGAGCGAAAGCGUGGGGAGCGAACAGG